rnacentral:misc_RNA from 1 species
GAAAUGCGAUAAGUAAUGUGAAUUGCAGAAUUCAAUGAAUCAUCGAAUCUUUGAACGCACAUUGCGCCCGCCAGUAUUCUGGCGGGCAUGCCUGUCCGAGCGUCAUUUCAACCAUCAAGCCCCCGGGCUUGUGUUGGGGACCUGCGGCUGCCCGCAGGCCCUGAAAACCAGUGGCGGGCUCGCUGUCACACCGAGCGUAGUAGCAAUCACCUCGCUCAGGGCGUGCUGCGGGUUCCGGCCGUUAAACAGCCUUACAAAACCCAAGGUUGACCUCGGAUCAGGUAGGAAGACCCGCUGAACUUAAGC